GGAAGCGUGGCAGAGUGGUUGAAUGCACCGGUCUUGAAAACCGGCGUGCCGCAAGGCAUCGUGAGUUCGAAUCUCACCGCUUCCGCCA
rnacentral:tRNA from 3 species